GAAAUUCGGAUUAAUACUCCAUAACAUAUAGUAUUCGCAUGGAUAUUAUAUAAAAGCUUUUGCGGUUAGAGAUGAGCAUGCGUGACAUUAGCUAGUUGAUAAGGUAACGGGCUUACCAAGGCUACGAUGUCUAGGGGGGUCUGAGAGGAUUAUCCCCCACACUGGUACUGAGACACGGACCAGACUCCUACGGGAGGCAGCAGUGAGGAAUAUUGGUCAAUGGACGCAAGUCUGAACCAGCCAUGCCGCGUGCAGGAAGAAUGCCCUACGGGUUGUAAACUGUCUUUUUAUGAGAACUAAACCCCCGAACGUGUUCGGGGCUGAAGGUACCAUAAGAAUAAGGAUCGGCUAACUCCGUG
rnacentral:rRNA from 1 species